rnacentral:rRNA from 1 species
AAAUUGAAGAGUUUGAUCAUGGCUCAGAUUGAACGCUGGCGGCAGGCCUAACACAUGCAAGUCGAACGGUAACAGGAAACAGCUUGCUGUUUCGCUGACGAGUGGCGGACGGGUGAGUAAUGUCUGGGAAACUGCCUGAUGGAGGGGGAUAACUACUGGAAACGGUAGCUAAUACCGCAUAAUGUCGCAAGACUAAAGAGGGGGACCUUCGGGCCUCUUGCCAUCGGAUGUGCCCAGAUGGGAUUAGCUAGUAGGUGGGGUAACGGCUCACCUAGGCGACGAUCCCUAGCUGGUCUGAGAGGAUGACCAGCCACACUGGAACUGAGACACGGUCCAGACUCCUACGGGAGGCAGCAGUGGGGAAUAUUGCACAAUGGGCGCAAGCCUGAUGCAGCCAUGCCG